CACUACAGCCAUAUCACCCUGCAGCCCAAGACCAGUUUCUCACUAAAGUUUAGCAGGGCUGAGUCUGGUCAGUACCUGGAUGGGAGACCAGAAGUGGUGUUAGUGAGGGCAGCAGGGG
rnacentral:rRNA from 1 species